rnacentral:rRNA from 1 species
CCUACGGGGGGCAGCAGUGGGGAAUAUUGGACAAUGGGCGAAAGCCUGAUCCAGCAAUGCCGCGUGAAUGAUGAAGGCCUUAGGGUUGUAAAGUUCUUUUAGUGGGGAAGAUAAUGACGGUACCCACAGAAAAAGCACCGGCUAACUUCGUGCCAGCAGCCGCGGUAAUACGAAGGGUGCAAGCGUUGUUCGGAAUUACUGGGCGUAAAGCGUGCGUAGGCGGCUUUAUAAGUUGGAAGUGAAAUCCCGGGGCUUAACCUCGGAAUUGCUUUCAAAACUAUUAAGCUAGAGUAUGGCAGGGGACAGUGGAAUUCCUAGUGUAGAGGUGAAAUUCGUAGAUAUUAGGAGGAACACCAGUGGCGAAAGCGACUGUCUGGACCAUUACUGACGCUGAGGCACGAAAGCGUGGGGAGCAAACAGGAUUAGAUACCCUGGUAGUC